rnacentral:rRNA from 1 species
UACAGAGGUCUCAAGCGUUGUUCGGAUUCAUUGGGCGUAAAGGGUGCGUAGGCGGCGUGGUAAGUCGGGUGUGAAAUCUCGGAGCUUAACUCCGAAACUGCAUUCGAUACUGCCGUGCUUGAGGACUGGAGAGGAGACUGGAAUUUACGGUGUAGCGGUGAAAUGCGUAGAUAUCGUAAGGAAGACCAGUGGCGAAGGCGGGUCUCUGGACAGUUCCUGACGCUGAACGGCGAAAGCUAGGGGAGCAAACGGG